UUUAAUCGAGAGUUUGAUCCUGGCUCAGGACGAACGCUGGCGGCGUGCUUAACACAUGCAAGUCGAACGAUGAAAGAGAAUCCGAUCUCUUCGGAGUGAAGAAUCUCUGGAUUAGUGGCGGACGGGUGAGUAACGCGUGAGCAAUCUGCCUUACACAAAGGGAUAGCCUCGGGAAACCGGGAUUAAUACCAUAUGAUAUCUAUUGACCGCAUGGUUUAUAGAUUAAAGAAUUUCGGUGUAAGAUGAGCUCGCGUCCCAUUAAUUAGUUGGUGAGGGUAACGGCCCACCAAGAUAGCGAUGGGUAGCCGAUCUAAGAGGAUGACCGGCCACAUUGGAACUGAGAAACGGUCCAAACUCCUACGGGAGGCAGCAGUGGGGAAUAUUGCACAAUGGGGGAAACCCUGAUGCAGCGACGCCGCGUGAGCGAUGAAGGCUUUCGAGUCGUAAAGCUCUGUCCUAUGGGAAGAUAAUGACGGUACCAUAGAAGAAAGCCCCGGCUAAUUACGUGCCAGCAGCCGCGGUAAUACGUAAGGGGCGAGCGUUGUCCGGAAUUAUUGGGCGUAAAGAGUGCGUAGGCGGCAAAUUAAGUCAGAUGUGAAAACUAAGGGCUCAACCCAUAGAUUGCAUCUGAAACUGAUAUGCUUGAGUCAAGGAGAGGAAAGUGGAAUUCCUAGUGUAGCGGUGGAAUGCGUAGAUAUUAGGAGGAAUACCGGUGGCGAAGGCGACUUUCUGGACUUGAACUGACGCUGAGGCACGAAAGCGUGGGGAGCAAACAGGAUUAGAUACCCUGGUAGUCCACGCCGUAAACGAUGAGUGCUAGGUGUCUGCUCAUACGAGUAGGUGCCGUACGUUAACACAUUAAGCACUCCGCCUGGGGAGUACGUACGCAAGUAUGAAACUCAAAGGAAUUGACGGGGACCCGCACAAGCAGCGGAGCAUGUGGUUUAAUUCGAGGCUACGCGAAGAACCUUACCAGGACUUGACAUACCAAGGAAAGUUUUUAGAGAUAAAAACCCUAGAUUUAUCUACCUUGGAUACAGGUGGUGCAUGGUUGUCGUCAGCUCGUGUCGUGAGAUGUUGGGUUAAGUCCCGCAACGAGCGCAACCCUUACAUUUAGUUACUAACAGGUUAAGCUGAGGACUCUAGAUGGACUGCCGAUGACAAAUCGGAGGAAGGUGGGGAUGACGUCAAAUCAUCAUGCCCUUUAUGUCCUGGGCUACACACGUGCUACAAUGGUCGGUACAAAGAGAAGCGAAAUAGCGAUAUCAAGCAAACCUCAAAAAACCGAUCCCAGUUCGGAUUGAUCUCUGCAACUCGAGAUCAUGAAGCCGGAGUUGCUAGUAAUCGCAGAUCAGAAUGCUGCGGUGAAUGCGUUCCCGGGUCUUGUACACACCGCCCGUCACACCAUGGGAGUAGGCAAUACCCGAAGCCUGUGAGCUAACCGUAAGGAGGCAGCAGUCGAAGGUAGGGUCAAUGACUGGGGUGAAGUCGUAACAAGGUAGCCGUAUCGGAAGGUGCGGCUGGAUCACCUCCUUUCUAAG
rnacentral:rRNA from 1 species